AGAAAAAUGAUGAGAUUCUUAAUGGCCGAAUUUCAUGUGGAAUAUGGUCUUCAAAGUUCUCUGAUU